CCUACGGGGGGCAGCAGUGGGGAAUAUUGGACAAUGGGCGCAAGCCUGACCCAGCAACGCCGCGUGAAUGAAGAAGGCUUUCGGGUUGUAAACUUCUUUUCUCAGGGACGAAGAAAGUGACGGUACCUGAGGAAUAAGCCACGGCUAACUACGUGCCAGCAGCCGCGGUAAUACGUAGGUGGCAAGCGUUAUCCGGAUUUACUGGGUGUAAAGGGCGUGUAGGCGGGAAAGCAAGUCAGAUGUGAAAACCAUGGGCUCAACCUGUGGCCUGCAUUUGAAACUGGUUGUCUUGAGUAUUGGAGAGGCAGGCGGAAUUCCACGUGUAGCGGUGAAAUGCGUAGAGAUGAGGAGGAACACCAGUGGCGAAGGCGGUCUGCUGGACAGCAACUGACGCUGAGGUGCGAAAGCGUGGGGAGCAAACAGGAUUAGAUACCCCAGUAGUC
rnacentral:rRNA from 1 species